GGAGGGUUAGGCUAAUGGUAAGUCAACGGUCUUGAAAACCGUCGGGUUAACGCCCUUGGGGGUUCGAGUCCCUCACCCUCCGCCA
rnacentral:tRNA from 1 species